UACGACGUAUCAGAGUUUGAUCCUGGCUCAGAGUGAACGCUGGCGGCAGGCCUAACACAUGCAAGUCGAGCGGCAGCGGGUCCUUCGGGAUGUCGGCGAGCGGCGGACGGGUGAGGAAUACAUCGGAAUCUGCCCUGUCGUGGGGGAUAACCUAGGGAAACUUAGGCUAAUACCGCAUACGACCUACGGGUGAAAGCGGGGGAUCGCAAGACCUCGCGCGACAGGAUGAGCCGAUGUCCGAUUAGCUAGUUGGCGGGGUAAAGGCCCACCAAGGCGACGAUCGGUAGCUGGUCUGAGAGGAUGAUCAGCCACACUGGGACUGAGACACGGCCCAG
rnacentral:rRNA from 1 species